GGCCUCAUAGCUCAGUGGUUACAGCACUGGUCUCGUAAUCCAGUAGUAGGGGUAGUGGGUUCAAUUCUCACUGAGGCCU